CUGAUGCGGUUGCUGGAGACGACCGGUGCUGUUUGAGGUGUCUGGCGCAGCCUUUAAUCUUCAUCACGGCGCUAGGCUACGCAACUCCGAGUGGCGUUGCUGGGUUACAAGUUACAGCCCAAAAAUGAGUGCAUGAAGGAGCACUGCCUGUGGCUGCCAGGGGGGCGAUGUGGUGUAGGCGAGAUUAAAGGGAACCGGCAGCCGUCGCAUCCCACGGGAAGAUUGAGCAUCAAUUCGCCUCACUGGUCUGAAGAAAAUGCACAUGGACGAUGAAGAGAUGUGAUUGGACACAUCAUCCACAUCCCUACAGGUCCUGGUGAGAGUGGCUCUGAAAGCAGCACUUAUGGAAAAAGAAGCAACAAUUGAGGAAAUGGAUGAUGGAGAGGGGGAGACACACAGGUCUGGUGGCCAUGGAUGAAGUGCUGGCUGUCCAGAGUCGGGACCCGGGGUGGACCGCUCGCCUGUGCAUCGGCUGGGAACAUCUCUGCGCUGCUGACCCGUCUCCGCUCGGGAUGGUUUCCUGCUGGCCCCACUACGGACUGGCCUCUCACUUUUAUGUUAGAUCCACUAUGGACUGGACUCUCACUAUUAUGUUAGAUCCACUAUGGACUGCACUUUCACAAUAUUAUGUCAGACCCACUCGACAUUCAUAGCUUUCGGUCUCCCCUAGAGGGGGGGGGGGGGUGUUACC